rnacentral:lncRNA from 1 species
AGGUGCCGUUUCACUCUUGUUGUCCAGGCUUGAGUGCAAUGGUGCGAUCUUGGCUCACCACAACCUCCGUCUCCUGGGUUCAAGCGAUUCUCCUGCCUCAGCCUCCCUGGUAGCUGGGAUUGCAGGCACGCACCACCACGCCUGGCUAAUUUUUUAUUUUUAGUAGAGACAGGGUUUCUCCAUGUUGGUCAGGCUGGUCUCAAACUCCCAACCUCAGGUGAUCCGUCCACCUCGGCCUCCCAAAGGGCUGGGAUUACAGGUGUGAGCCACCGUGCCUGGCCUAUCUUUACCUUUUUAAGGUAGUGACUAGCAACUUUAAGAUUCAUAUGUGGCUCAUGCUGUAUUUCUAUUAUGGAACUGCCUUAUGACUUUCAAUGGGUAGGAUGGACACAUCCUUGGUGGGAUGGAGAAAUCUAUCAUAGCAGCUGGUCUUGAAGGUGGGUGGGGAUAUGAUAAUAACUUAGGUGGGGAGGCUCAGGAGGACUCACAGAAUAACUGGCAACCCUGCCCCUGUCUGUAAAAACCCCAUCCUGGAGGAAAUAAGUUAGGAAAAGGUUUUGCAUUUUGUGGAAUGAAAAGUCUGUUGCAUCUAGCUUGAGACAGAGCAAAAAGAGUUGAUUGUCAGCUUCAUGAAGACCAGGGGGUCUAAAAGACCCAGGGAUCAACAACCAAUGAGAGCAGCAUGGAGGCCAAGAACCAGGCAAAAUGCUGAUUCCAGGACUGGGAUUCAGGAUGAUUUCCUUCUAUGCAAUAAUCUGCUCCUUGAAAGGGUAUCUAAUUGGGCAUUGCUUUUACUUGCUGCUUUCAAUUCUUUUAUGUUCUUUCCUAGUAAAUAUUUUUUCUUAAUUUCAUUGCAGCUCGUAUUUAUCCUGGGAACAGAGAGAAAUGUUUCACAAGCUUAAGCCAGUCUUUUAAAAGGAGAAUGGCAGGACUCCAAAAACAGACAUGCUGAUAUGUACUGGGGAAUUUUUAAGUGCUGAAACCUCCAAGACAAAAGAGACUGUGUCUUUAUUGUUCUCUGAAUUACUCGUACCCAGCUCGGUACCUGGAACAUGAUAGGGAUCCCAUAGUGGUUUGAUGAAUAAAUUAGUGACUCCAAGAGUAAAGUAAUCCUCAGGAGGACAAAGGCAGAUAGCUUCCCUUCCCUAUCAGAAUGUACUUCUCUUAAAGCUUUUCUUGGUAUAAUUCUUGGAGAAUUUUGCCUUACAGAAGUCAAAUCACAUACCAAAGUGAAAACUGGAUCUUCUACAAAUAAUGGAAGAAUCAACUCUAUCAAAACAACAAUUAUACAUAUGAUCAAUGGAGGGGUUGUCACGAGCCAGGCUAAGAGCUUUACAUAUAUUAUCUCAUUCUGUCUAUGCCAGAGAAUCAACUAUGACAUAUGUAACAUUAAAUCUCAUUUUAUAGAUGCAAAAACUGGGGUGUAAAGAAGUCAAAGAAUCAGCCAGAAUGUACAGAAUUAGCAAAGGUGGAACUGGGAUUUGAAUUCAGACAGUCUGACUCCAGACGCCAUCUCCGAAUUAUGCAUAAUUAUAUUUCAAUUAUUAACAUUCAUAAAUUGAAAUAUGAGGGAUAAUGUACCUUUUCAUGAAAGCUUUGCUCGUUGUGUGGAUGAGUGUGUGUACAUGUAACUGCUUAUGUGUGCUAUCACUGAGGUAGAAGACAUCUCUCUCUCUCUCUCUCUCUCUCUCUCUCUGUUUUGGUCUACUUUUAGUAAGACUUGUAUUUGAUUGAGUUCAGAAGUUUGAUUAUCUUUUUAACUAACCUGUUUGUUUUAAUUAUAUUAAAAAUUAGUCACUUUCAACAUAUUUGCAUAGGUAAUUGUUAGGGUGAUCUUUUGGAUGAUCAGAUGUAAUAUACUACUACUACACACAGACACCCAGACACACACACACACACACACACACACACGCAUGCAGACACAUCCUUGAGCUCAAAGAGCUUUCUCAGGACUACAUACUUUACAUUUACAACAAGUCAUUUAGAAAACUAUCAAUCCUAUUCAAAUCUCAGCAAAACAGAGAUACCAGGCUCUGCCUUUCUCUUUAACUGCUCUUUUUUUGCUGUAGACAAAGCUGUUUCUUGCACUGCUACAUAUAUAAAAAAGUGACAAAUCCUUAACUGUCAAACAAGAGAAAUAGUUUGAUAAAUAUAAUAAUUCCAUAAGAUGGCACAUUAUACACUACUAAAUUGUAAGGACAGUAAAGUUACUGUUAAGUACCAAAAAGUCAUGAUUAAAUGUUAAGUGAAAAAAUAGAAUAUAGCUAGAUUUGAAUUUGAAUAUUCAAUCUGUAUACCAGUAUGUAUAGAAGGAAGAGUAUAUACCAAAUAGUAAGAGUAUCUAUCUGUUUUAUAAUUUGAUAUAAUACAAAUUAUUCUACCUUAAACAUAUGAGAAUUUGUGGUCCAUGAUGUUGUAGAUUCUAUCUUCUCACCCUGCAUUUCCGAAGACAUAUGGUAUUGGCUCAUUAGACUAUUUGUUGAAUAGUCUUUAUUCUAUUAUCAUAGAAAAAAUAAAUGAGUGCAUAUAUCCAUAUACAAAAUAGAGGUCUGUUCUUCCUGUAUAUAUUUAUACUAAAAAAACUGAGACUUUUUUUUACAGUUGUAUAUAUACAAACAUAUUUGUUUAUUUAUAUACACAUAUAUAAAUCAAUUUUAUGUACAUGUGGGUAUACAUACAUCCAUGCAUAUAACUCUGAAGUGCUGACUCUCUAAAGAAAGCCCAGGUAUUGGUCAGAAUUCAUGCUCGGCUCAGGAGUAUAGAAUUAAGAGAUACAAACCUCAAAAAAGAGGGAACCGAAUCUUCAAAUCUGAGCCACCUUACAAGAAUUUUUAAGGUAACUGUUUUAAGUGUAAACAUUAUGGCAAUGUAAUAGUAUAAUUUGUAUGGCACAAGAUGGAGUCCUGGUGGCCAGAACUGAGUAUGGGAAUAGUCAGUGCUAAUCUUUGUGCAAAGCACAAAGGAAAAUUGGUAUACAAGGCCUGAGAGAGAGGUCAAGGAAGCAAAUACUAUAAAGUCCCAGAAGGCAGUUGGAUAGGACAAGGGGAUCGGAAGAGCAGGAUCAAGAUCAGAGAGCAGGGAAGAUGGGGCUAGCUAAUCUAGGGAAUGGAGGGAGAAGGGAUACCCAGAAGCAGGAUUCAGGGGGUUAGAGCACUUACACCAUGCUCAUGGCCAUGCCCAUGGACAGGAGAAGCAUAUGAUGGGUGCACAUGGUGGAGCUGGUCUAAAGAAGAGGGGGAUUCAUAUCACAGUAAAAUUAAGUGCAAUUUAUCCACAGAGCAGAGGAGGUUGUGAAGAGCAGGCAUAGGCUAUUUUUCAUGUCUGAAUGCUCUCAAGACCUCUUAGUGUUGUAGGUAGAUGACGCACAAUAAAUAUUCCUUGAUUUGAAUUGGCAUAAAAGGUCAAAUCAGAAAGCCAGAAGUUCUUUAAGGUUUCAAACUAGAUUCUAAGAAGUCCAAAGGCAUCUCAGAGGUCAUCUCAGGGAGAAAAGGGGAAGCAAUGAGGUAGAACUCUGAACCUCCACUCUACCUAAACAAGGCAGCCCUGCUGUGCUCCGAGUCAUGUAUGGCGACAUCAGGGAAGAUGUAAAAUAGGAUUGUGAUAGGAAACAGCAUUUGAAAGCCAUUGCUUUACGAAGGGAAGCGUAGAACCCUUUUCCCCUUGUUAGCCAAUUCAAAUGAAGACUUUUGGGAGCUAGUGAAGAGAAAGACAGGAUUUCUAGGGAGAUGUUUCAGAAGCAGCCUAACUAUACCCGUGUCUUCAGAAAGAGCAGUGUCGUCUCAGAAGUAAUCACCUUCAUCAACCAGCAGGUCAGUGUGGGUCUCCUGAAGAGCCCGAACAACCACGGGAAGCGACAUCCACUGUUGUGCAGUCAAAAGAAUCUUUGCUCUCAUUUUCUCCACUCUCUUUCCUUCCCAAAUAGGGUAUCAUAGGAAGAUCCUGCCUUUCUUCCAGUUCCAACAUUUAUGAAGUGAAAUUUCCAUCAGACAGUUGCUUUUGACAAACAAAGAUUGACUAGAAGCUUCUGUGAGAGAGCCUUAGGAAGUUCUCUGGGGAAGCCCUGCCUUUGUUUGGUUUUCUUUGCCUUUGGCUCUGUGAUGUUUGCUGUAAAAAAUGAUUACUUUCAGGUGAUUAAAAGUGGGGAAGAAUGGUUUCAAGCUUUUCAUGUAGCAAAUAAUAUCCCUGUCUGUAGGAUUACUUUAGUUGAAAAAAAAACAUGGCUUCAGUGAUGCCUUCUCAAUGUACAAGAUUCAGAGGAAUGGAAAGAAAAUGAAAUAAGGCCGGCCUCGGUGGCUCACACCUGUAAUCCCGGGAAGCCGAGGCGGGUGGAUCACGAGGUCAGGAGUUCAAGACCAGCCUGGCCAAGAUGGUGAAACCCCAUCUCUACUAAAAAUACAAAAAUUAGCCAGGCAUGGUGGCAGGCGCCUAUACUCCCAGCUACUCAGGAGGCUAAGGCAGAGAAUUGCUUGAACCCCGGAGGCGGAGGUUGCAGUGAGCCAAGAUCAUGCCACUGCAGUCCAGCCUGGGCGACAGAGCAAGACUCCAUCUCAAAAACAAAACAAAACAAAACAAAGGAAAAGAAAUCUGCAGUUAAUAUUUUGGCAAGCUUUCUUCACUUGUAUGCAUUUUUAAAAUGCUAAUGUUAAUAACAGUUCGGGACUUCUAACUUCUAUAUUUAAGCAACAAAUAAAUAAAUUGUCAGAUGGUACUUCAUCAUCCUUCUCUCCCAUCUUCUUAGAAAUAUAAAUUGCUUUAGGUGGGAAUGCUAUAAUUUUAGACCAGAAAAUACAUGCCAGAUGUCUCUUAUAUGAAGCCGUCCCGCCCAAGGAUAUAUAUAUGCCUUAGUCAUUAGGAUGUGUUCUAAAUAAUACUGCAAAGCCCUUGGAAGGAUGGGUCUGAACACUCACUUAUAUUUAACUGCUGGCAUGUUGCUUUGUCCCUGUGUCUUGUGCUACUAUUUCCAUUGAUGUAAAGGAAGCACCAAUUAAAUAACACUCCAUUAUUAGAGAACCAGGCACAAGUCAGCUGAGGCAGGAGACCCGCCUUCUUUUCCAGAAACAAUGUAAAGCCUGGGUGGGUGAGGGUCUCUGGGCUUCCGCCGUGCCUUGCUUUUGACAUUCUCCAGCACACCCUAUAAACAUGUCUAAGGCUGUCCUGUUUAGUCUGAUUAUUCAAACUAUAUUGUCCAGGGUAGAGCAAAGGGAAACCUAGCUGAACCCUGGAGAUGACAGCAGGGAGAGAGAGAGGGGCAAAGAAGGGCAAAACGGGAAAAACAGGAAACAGGCUAGUGAGAAGAGUAAAAACGCUCAGGGUGAGGAAGCAGGGUUUCUAAGCUCUCUAAUCUCCCCUGUGCAGCUGGCUUGCUGUAUGGUUUAUACAAAUCCAGUGGUGAUCUCUGUGCAACGUGGUAUCACCUGUUUAAAGAGGUCUCAUCUUCAUUUUCAAAGAGGAAUACAUGUUUUUUUACUUACUCUUCUGCAUGGCUGACUCCUUUUCAUGCUUUAAGUCUCAAUCUUAAUGCCACCUCCUCCUUCCAGACGUUCCCAGCUAAAGUGGCACUUCCCAGCCCCAUUACUCUCUAUGUUUAUUGCCUGCAUAGCUCUUAUUUGUAAUGAUUUCGUAAUAGUUUGAUGAUGAUCAUGAUGAAUAUUACUUUACCUAUUUAUGGCCUCUCUUUUAGUAUUAAAUUCUGUAAGCCACAUGAGCAUGGGGACACAUCUCCUUUGUCACUGCCCCAUUGCUGGCAUUUAGCACAAGCAUGGUCUAUAAUAGAUACCAAACAAAUAUGUAUUAAUCAUGUAAAUGACUAAAUCCAUGAAUGAAUCUAUCAGACAGUGUAGAUAGCAGCACAUAAAGGAAAGGGAAUGUAGUAAAUUUUUCAUUUUCCUUGAAGAUGUAGCUAUGUAUUAGGAAUUUGAAAAAUACAUUAUCAAACACAAAGCUAAAUUAUGCCAGCUAAUGACUACUAAAUAUAAUAAAAUCGGCUGGGCACGGUGGCUCGCACCUGUAAUCCCAGCACUUUGGGAGGCCGAGGUGGGUGGAUCACGAGGUCAGGAGAUUGAGACCAUCCUGGCAAACAUGGUGAAACGCUGUCUCUACUAAAAAUACAAAAAAUUAGCUGGGCAUGGUAGCAGGCACCUGUAAUCCCAGCUACUCGGGAGGCUGAGGCAGGAGAAUCGCUUGAACCCAGGAGGCAGAGCUUGCAGUGAGCAGAGAUCACACCACUGCACUCCAGCCUGGGCGACAGAGUGAACCUCUGUCUCAAAAAUAAAUAAAUAAAUAUAAUAAAGUAUGUAGAAAGUCAGAAAUCUUGGGGAUUAUAUUGCAAAGAAUUUCCACUAUAUUGAUAAUGGAGAAAGGCUUUUAAUAUUAUAUUUUUUGAAUAUUAAGAAAUUGGCAUCUACUCACCAGUUUGGACAUCGCUUUUAAAAUACACACUAAACGAAAGCCAUUUUGUACUUAUAAGUGCUAGAUUAAAUUCCUGCAUAGGCUGAAAAAGGUCUCUUUCCAUGCCUUUCCAAAUUUACAAUUAACAAAGAGUUAAUUAUUCUCAGAGUCAUUUCUUCCAAUUCACCAAUUAGGAUGAGGGCUAUUUGUUACAAUCAUAAAAGAGGAAAUGGUGCAUGGGCAAGAAGA